CUUAAAAGCUGAUUGAUAUGGGUAUUCGAAGUUUGUAUACUCUCAGAAGGAAAUUUUAUAAAUUAGUUAAUGCUAUUUCAAUAAUAAUAUUCCGCAAUUAUUGCACACUAAUCUGCUCCGCUCUCGCCCACGCAAGCGAUCGAGGACCAUAAAAAAUUCGUUGCGAUAACAAGAGUGGCUUCGAUUAGCACUCGAAACAAAAACAAAGCAGCACACGCAUUGGGAAUUACAGCAACACAAAUGAGGAAAUUGAGCCGCGCGGACAACAACAUCAUAAACACACUCGAGUGGGCGGCAUCGCAGCCAAACAUAUGAGCGGAGAGGGCGAAAAGGAGUGGGAGCGCAGAGUGGCGAAGAGAGCGAGGCGGCUUUGGCGCCUGUCUGCUUUGCCGGCGACGUCGACUGCGCUGCUUUUAUGAUUCAUUUAUCAACGUCAGGCGUCAAGAGUCAAUGCAACUAACGGGAGGCGGAGAGUCUGGGACGAGGGGUUGGCGAAGUGUGAAAACGUUAGACAAACAUCAACAUACAGUUCCAACAGCUGUGGUCAACUUAAUAGCGGGGAUCAAAUAGGAAUAUCAAUUCCAACAUUUGAAUCAUCAGAAAAAGGGUUCUAAGUGACCAAUAUAUGUACAUAAGUACAUAUAUAAGAGAUUAACCCUUGGAUCAUAGGGUAAGUUACGGAAAUCAAAAUGCGUCAUGCGGUUCAAUUUGCCAUUACCUUUCUAAUGACAUACUCCAUUUUAUAAAGUGUAAUGAUUUGUUGCUAAUUGUUUUUAAAUUCACCUAUGUAAGUAGAUUGUUCACUCAAUAGAUACGGUCGUUGAAGAUAAAAAGUAAAGGUGUAUCGAUAAAUGGUAAUUAGUAAACGUGCUGUGUGAUAUAA